ACUUUACCUCAAUAAUUGUUUGGGAAAAGGUUUAAGUUUUUGACAGCAUGAAUAGAUUUGUGUUUUGUGAGGUAUUGUUCCUUUUAACAGCAUGUACGGGGACUCGGAAAACUGUGAACAUCCAUGACCUGCUAGAAAAAUUCUUGAAAACCAAACAAACUUCCUGGAGACAUACAAACAGCGUUAUUAAAUCUGCCAACAUUGCAAACAUCAAAGUUGAUGUAUUGUCUACUUAUGUUUUGAACGGGAGCAUUGAAAGCAAAAAAGUGUUGAUUGUUCAGAGAUUCUGAGAAAUGAUCCCAGCGUGAAAGGCAGCAAUGGAGUUUAUACAAUAUAUCCGCAUCGUACCAACGCCAAGAAGGUUUUCUGUGACAUGACAACCAACGGUGGGGGAUGGACUGCUAUACAAAAACGGGUAGAUGGUUCAACAGAUUUUUACAGAACGUGGAAAGAAUACAAGGAAGGAUUUGGUAAUCCAUCCCACGACUACUGGAUUGGAAACAGUCUAAAUAAUCAGAAUGGAAUGAUGUUUACCACGAAGGAUCAAGAUAAUGACAAGAUUGGAAGUAAAAAUUGUGCAAAUGACUACUAUGGUGGAUGGUGGUAUAAUGCGUGUCAUGCUACAAAUCUAAAUGGCUUGUAUGCAAAAUCAGCUUUGAGUGACCCAAAGUUUAACACUUGGCAUGCUUGGAAAUCUGAUCACGUAGCCUUGAAAACAACAGUCAUGAUGAUACGUCCAGUACGAUUUUGAAAAGCAUGCAUGACUGAAAUAGAAAAACUACAAUCAAUAAAGUGGAACCC
rnacentral:misc_RNA from 1 species